rnacentral:piRNA from 1 species
UCCCAAGAGCAUACAUGUCCCUAGCCAGGC